GCAGCCAAUAGGGCCCAGCCGGAUGUACGAGAUCAAAUAGAUAUGUCUCUGUCUUGGGAAAAAACAACUUCACGAAUAGGGAGACCCGUCUACCUGCUUCUAGGAACGGACGAGCCGCCGAUGGAUGGCGGAACGCCACGGCGAGUCCGCUGUACUGCCCUCCGUCGCCGGAUGUAUCCCUGCUGCGGCAGCCUCAUUUGGUCAUCCCCGAAUAUCUUCCUAGGCUUUUGAUGUCGUGGAUGGUAAAUGAGCAAAACAUACCAACUCAUUAUGUCCCAGAUUUAAGGCAUCCCUGUUUAGUGACUCCAUCCUGAUUCAGCUGGCUACAACACUUGAUCUGGCUAGAUGUCCACUAGAUUGUGGCUGCAGUGUGAAUUGUUUUCUUUCUUUUUUGGCUGUGAAUUCAUGCGUGGUUUGAUGGUAUGCCAUCUUCUCUGGACACAAUAGCUAAAAGCCCAUGGAAACAAAGCCAAGUGGUCAGUGGAAGUACUUUCUUGGAAGAAACAAAUGAAUCAUAGUUAUUUGCUUUCCGAAUCUGUUUAUUCUUCCAUCUUCUUGAUGUAAAGCAUCAUGAUUUUUUUAGAAUUGUCAAGCAUUAUGAUAAAAA